UUCUGGACACGCCCCCACACGCGCUGCGCAGACCGCGCCCACACGCCGCCGCAGCCGGCGGCAAUCUUCAAUCAGCACAGCUGGCAGUGAUUACAGACAACAGGAUAAAGAGCCUCGCCGCGGACUAAUCGACGUCGGAACGUAGCCCUGUUCGCAUCUCGUGUCUCAUUGUCAACUUCCUUUUCCCCCUGGACCUGGAUUGCCCUCCUGAUUGAGACACCCUGCUUGUACCUUGGACGCUCUCUCCUGCAGCACGACCUCCUUUUGGACACCGGACUUGCACUCUCCUUCCACGACCCCGUUUGGACAUUGGACUUCCCUACUUCUUUUCCCUCUGGAUUUGGACGCCCUCAUUCAACACACUUGACAACACCCCUUAAGGUAUCUUCACAUGUUAAUCUCAGCACAUAGCUCACAUUCAAACACAUAGUAGCAUACACAUCCUAUGUAUUCAUCAAUCACUCAAUAAAUAUUAUUGAGUUAUA